rnacentral:rRNA from 1 species
UACGUAGGGGCCGAGCGUUGUCCGGAGUUAUUGGGCGUAAAGCGCGCGCAGGCGGCCUCGCGCGCCCGACGUGAAAGCCCCCGGCUUAACCGGGGAGGGUCGUUGGGGACGGCGGGGCUUGAGGGCGGGAGAGGGUGGUGGAAUUCCGCGUGUAGCAGUGAAAUGCGUAGAGAUGCGGAGGAACACCGAUGGCGAAGGCAGCCCCCUGGGCCGACAUUGACGCUCAGGCACGAAAGCGUGGGGAGCAAACAGG